AGCUUCCAUGGAGCCCUUGGGUGGAUGCUCGGGAGAACUCCAGGAAUUCCACAAAGUGGGAAAAGGACAAAUCCCAGGAUUUGGGUGCAGUGUCCAAUCCCAAUCCCUGUCCCAGGGCCCAUCCUGGUGCUCAGCAGCUCCUGGGAGACAUUCCCAGAAUCCCAGAAUCCCAGAAUCCAGAAAAGAUUUCCCAAAACAACCAUAGGCAGAGCCAGGAUUCCCAGGUUUUUGGGAAGAGGAGGGAUAAAAACAACCCAGGCAGAGCUGGUGGGAUAUCCUGGGAGUUUCCCCAUUCCCCACAAAGCUUUGGAUCGAGUCGGGAAUGCCAAGGAUGGGGUUGGGAAUGCCAGGGAUGGGGUUGGGGUUAGGAAUGCCAGGAUUGGGAAUGCCAGGGAUGGGAUUAGGAAUGCCAGGAUGGGAUUGGGAAUGCCAGGGAUGGGAAUGCCAGGGAUGGGGUUAGGAAUGCCAGAGAUGCAUUUGGGAAUG
rnacentral:lncRNA from 1 species